UACAGAGGUGGCAAGCGUUGUUCGGAAUUACUAGGCGUAAAGGGCAGGUAGGUGGUUCGGUAAGUCUGUUGUGUAAGCUCCCGGCUUAACUGGGAAAGGUCAACGGAAACUACCGGACUAGAGUAUGGGAGAGGGUUCUGGAAUUCCCGGUGUAGCGGUGAAAUGCGCAGAUAUCGGGAGGAACACCAAUGGCGAAAGCAGGAGCCUGGACCAUUACUGACACUCAGCUGCGAAAGCUAGGGGAGCAAACAGG
rnacentral:rRNA from 1 species